UAUUAUAGUCAAUCUUAAGAUUUGAAGUUCGAGGCAAAACAGGAACAAGGAUGAACUUAAUCACGUUAAUAGGAAU
rnacentral:tRNA from 1 species